ensembl:lncRNA
CGCCCACGUGAUGCGACCUUCAGCUGGGGGACACCAGCAGGAGGCUCUUUGUGGUGAUGGUCACCAAGAAAUGCCACCUGGGAAGGCAGGCAGACACUCUCAGCCCCCCAAAACUCUUCUUUUGUUUGUUUGCUCAUCUCCUCCUUAAAUAGGGCACCAUGGCUCAUUGGAUCUUCUCAGCAGGUUAUCACUUGGACACUGAGUCCAGCAACUUGCCCAAACUCUCCAGAGUGUUCCAGUUUCGUUUGGUUUCUUAAGAUGAGUCUGAGCCAACGAAGAGAUCCUAGCAGUUGUCAACACUAACAGACGCACAAGUGAGUCCAACUGAGACCAGAAGGCCCACCAGUCAAAGCUGCCCACCCAUGGAAUCCCAAGUAAAAGAAGUCACUAUUUGAUUCCACUCCAUUUGGGGAUGUUUGUUAUGCAGCAGAUUCUAACAGAUGCACUUUGGAUACAGGAGAAGGAAGGCUUCCCUGGUGGCUCAGUGGUAAAGAAUCCGCCUGCCCACACAGGAGACGCAGGUUCGGUCCCUGAUUCAGGAAGAUCCCACAUGCGGUGGAGCAACUAGCCUGUGCGUCACAGCUAUUGAGCCGGUGCUCUGAAGCCUGGGACCCACAGCAGCUGAGCGCAUGCGUGUUAGAGCCCGAGCUUCCCGGGAGAAGCCAGCUCAAUGAGAAACCCGCACACCACGACGCGACAGUGGCCCCCACUCACCGCAGCUAGAGUAAAGCUUGCGCAGCUGUGAAGACCCAGCACAGCCAGACGUACAGAAAAACACAUAAAAUUAUCAAAAAGUAAAACGUCACUGUCC